AACACCUUUUUACCAUCAUAAUAUUGGUUAAUGUAAAGGGGGUUUGUACCAGGUCUCUAGAUUAAUAAUCAGAUUAUGGCCAACGUGUUUUCUUCUCUAAGGGGCUAUUAUAUGGACGGGCUUCUUCAUCCUCCAUCAAAUUGAUUCACGCAUAUAUGCUUUUGGGAGCGCAGCAGCGAAUGUUUAUCUGUGAUAUGAU